AUUGUUAUCACUUUGAGUACCACCUGAAAUGGAAUCAAGUGCUAAUAAGUCAUAAUCCGAGACAACUCCAACCAAAUUCCAAUCAUCAUCGACAACAGGAAAACCAGUUAUUCUCUUUUCCACCAGGACCUCUAAUGCUUCAUCAACUGUUGUUGUAGGUUUAACAACAUAAAGGUUCUCCUUUCUCGUCAUAAAAUCACCAACCGUAUAUGUUCCUCUGAUCGGAAAGGAAUCAACGACGCCAGCUCCAGAAGAAGCAAGAACCAAAGGCGAGGGAGGUCGAGCGGAGUAUCGGUCGGUGAUCCCAAACCGCUGUAGCUUAGAAAGAGAAUUGGAUGAAAAAAGAGGGCGUGGACACCGUCGGUAGCGCUGAGAGUGAGGAAGAUGAUGAGGAUAAGCCCGCGCGAGAGCAUGUGAAUUGGAGAGAGAGAUGGAGCUCAUUUUGCUGGCUGCUUCAGGAGUAACGGAGAAAUUCAGAAAUGGAAAAAAACGAAUACAGUAAUCUGGAAAGAGAAGAGUUGGAAGAAUCAAUGACUGAUCUACCGAACGGAAGAGAAUUACAACCGGAAAAUUUUCAGAAUCAAAG
rnacentral:misc_RNA from 1 species